GACGAACGCUGGCGGCGUGCCUCAUACAUGCAAGUCGAACGCAGUGGCGGACGGGUGAGUAACACGUGGGUAACCUACCCAUCAGAGGGGGACAACAGUUGGAACCGACUGCUAAUACCGAAUACUGAAGGAUGGGAUUGCGUCUGAUUAGCUAUUUGGAGGGGUAACGGCCCACAAAGGCGAUGAUCAGUAGCCGGUCUGAGAGGAGGAACGGCCACAUUGGGAAUGAGACACGGCCCAGACUCCUACGGGAGGCAGGAGUGGGGAAGAUUGGACAAUGGGCGAAAGCCUGAUCCAGCCAUGCCGCGUGUGUGAAGAAGGUCUUCGGAUUGUAAAGCACUUUAAGUUGGGAGGCGUUACCAACAGAAUAAGCACCGGCUAACUUCGUGCCAGCCGCCGCGGUAAUUC
rnacentral:rRNA from 1 species